rnacentral:lncRNA from 1 species
CUGAGAUGUCCUCACCAUUGGAGAAGCAAUUAACAAAAUCCCUGACUGGAGUGUAUGAAGCAUCUGUUAUGGAAGUAUAAAAGGAAAAAGUCUGGAAAAAACAUUCUCUGAAAAAAAAGAUCUGUCCUAGGGCAAAAUGCCUUCAGAAAUGUGCCCUGGCCACUGGUGCUGUAAGACAUUGAGGAUGACAGUUACACUGCUACGUCCUGUCGCUUGUACCUUCAGUUCACUGCCAAAGGUGUUUCAUGCUGUGGUAUGGGUCUUUAAAGAAGUACAAAUAUGCAAAUCACAUGGUGUGCACGAUUGAAGGCUCAUUGCUUGUACUUCACUUGAAAAAAUGCUGGUGGUAUCUAACUACGCCUAAUUAUAACUACAUGAGUGCUAUUAGGCACGGACAAGGGAAAAGUAAUCCUACAGACUUGAAACAACAACAACAAAUUCCACUGUGUAGUUUAGAUUUGAAGGGGAUGUGGAGAAAGUUGGAGUAUUAUUAAAAACACUCCUGCUACAAUGAGAUUUUCCUGGUGAGUUACACUUCUACUUUGUGACGGUGACACCAACACACCAAUGUGCUGGCUUCUCCGGCUGAUGUCUGAGUCGUGAUUAAUACUGUAGCUUUUUUUUAUUAGCAGAAAGUUCAGCCCACUGGCUUUGCUGCUAAAGCUCAGAGGGCCAUUUUGAUUAUACAGAAGAAAAUCUAUUUCCCACUGUGUCUUUAACUUGGCAUUAUUGAGAUGUUUUUAUAGAGGGAGAAAAUGCUUGUGGACAUGUAUAGACAGGUUAAUCUUAUCUCUCUAACCUCCCUAAAGACAUGCUUCUGCUUCUGAAGUGCAGCUGUAGUUCUCCUUUGAUUGCUAUGAAAUUACAAUAUUUUACUGCAUAUCAUAUGUACAUGUUCUUUAUUAUAUGGGAUCAGCAAAGUAUGUCAGGUAUUGGCUGCAGUCAGUUAUCUGAAGCAAGGGUAUCUAGUGAUGCCAAGACUUUUCUUGGGAUCUGGUUCUAGAUCCCAGGUUCUUUCCUGGGUUAAAUUAGAAGAUUUAACCACUUGUGAUGCACCCCUUACCAACCAGGAUGGUCCGGCUGUAGUGGGAUGUGUUACGUGUCUGGGAACAGACUUCUUUUCUUUUGAGAUGGCUUUAUUUCACACUGUGCUUUUUUAGUGAUUGAAUAGUCAUAGUCUGUGUCCUGUGGCCUAUCAAUACGUCUAGUAUCCAUCUUAUUCUGCUCCUUGUCUGUAAACUAUGUGGACUAAACACACUUACGACACAGCCUAGGGUUGAUCCCAUGCCAUACACAAGCACUGGGUCUGGUAUUCCCAGCCUCAUGUUGUGCUGAAGUAAAUGUCAGAAGAGAGAAUGAUGUUGACCCAGAUGGUUCAGCUUUGUUCCUCUCCAUGUAUCCCCAAAAGACCCAGGCAGGAGUGCUCUCUUAUUCUACAUUGAGGGGAAAAAAAAAAAAAAAAAGAACAGUGAAACUUUAUAAAACUUUCACUGGCUUCAUGAUUCAUACAGACUAGAACAGCUCAGGGAAUCUCAGAAAUAGCUCUAAAGCACUCGUGUAGGUGGUUUUAAAUCACAGAAGAGAUGAGCUCUAAUACAUGAUGGACUCUCAGUCGCAGUGCAAUGAAUUAUUACUGUGAUCUUCCAUAAAUUCCAAGAGGUGGAGAGAGAAGCUAGGCAACUAUCGAUAUACCACUUUUCUGGAUAAAAUACCUUACUGCUAGAUUAUUUUGCAUGCAGUCACAAGACAGUAGUAGAUGUGUCAGUUAAGUACUGUUGGCUGUCCCAGCAAAGUGCCAAGCAGCACACAAGAUACUCAGUUCUUAGGGAUAUGUAGAUUAACUGAACAUAAGUGAAAAUGAUGUGUUGUGAUUUUUUUUGAGAGAGCAAAUAAAUACUGUUAAUGCCAGUGCUAUUAGUGCUAU